GACGAACGCUGGCGGCGUGCUUAACACAUGCAAGUCGAACGGAAAGGCCCUGCUUUUGUGGGGUGCUCGAGUGGCGAACGGGUGAGUAACACGUGAGUAACCUGCCCUUGACUUUGGGAUAACUUCAGGAAACUGGGGCUAAUACCGGAUAGGAGCUCCUGCUGCAUGGUGGGGGUUGGAAAGUUUCGGCGGUUGGGGAUGGACUCGCGGCUUAUCAGCUUGUUGGUGGGGUAGUGGCUUACCAAGGCUUUGACGGGUAGCCGGCCUGAGAGGGUGACCGGCCACAUUGGGACUGAGAGACGGCGCAGACUCCUACGGGAGGCAGCAGUGGGGAAUAUUGCACAAUGGGAGGAAGCCUGAUGAAGCAACGCCGCGUGCGGGAUGACGGCCUUCGGGGUGUAAACCGCUUUAGCCUGUGACGAAGCGUGAGUGACGGUAAUGGGUAAAGAAGCACCGGCUAACUACGUG
rnacentral:rRNA from 1 species